CGGACGGGUGAGUAACACGUGGAUAACCUACCUAUAAGACUGGGAUAACUUCGGGAAACCGGAGCUAAUACCGGAUAAUAUUUUGAACCGCAUGGUUCAAAAGUGAAAGACGGUCUUGCUGUCACUUAUAGAUGGAUCCGCGCUGCAUUAGCUAGUUGGUAAGGUAACGGCUUACCAAGGCAACGAUGCAUAGCCAACCUGAGAGGGUGAUCGGCCACACUGGAACUGAGACACGGUCCAG
rnacentral:rRNA from 1 species